UACGGGGGGGGCAAGCGUUGUUCGGAAUUACUGGGCGUAAAGGGCUCGUAGGCGGCCAACUAAGUCAGACGUGAAAUCCCUCGGCUUAACCGGGGAACUGCGUCUGAUACUGGUUGGCUUGAAUCCGGGAGAGGGAUGUGGAAUUCCAGGUGUAGCGGUGAAAUGCGCAGAUAUCAGGAGGAACACCAAUGGCGAAGGCAGCACUCUGGGACGGUACUGACGCUGAGACGCGAAAGCGUGGGGAGCAAACAGG
rnacentral:rRNA from 1 species